rnacentral:rRNA from 1 species
AUUGAACGCUGGCGGCAGGCCUAACACAUGCAAGUCGAGCGAGCGGCGGACGGGUGAGUAAUGUCUGGGAAACUGCCUGAUGGAGGGGGAUAACUACUGGAAACGGUAGCUAAUACCGCAUACCAUCAGAUGUGCCCAGAUGGGAUUAGCUAGGGGGGGGGGUAACGGCUCACCUAGGCGACGAACUCUAGCUGGUCUGAGAGGAUGACCAGCCACACUGGAACUGAGACACGGUCCAGACUCCUACGGGAGGCAGCAGUGGGGAAGAUUGCACAAUGGGCGCAAGCCUGAUGCAGCCAUGCCGCGUGUGUGAAGAAGGCCUUAGGGUUGUAAAGCACUUUCAGCGGGGAGGCGUUACCCGCAGAAGAAGCACCGGCUAACUCCGUGCCAGCAGCCGCGGUAAUUC